rnacentral:rRNA from 1 species
UACGAAGGGGGCUAGCGUUGUUCGGAAUUACUGGGCGUAAAGCGCACGUAGGCGGAUUUGUUAGUCAGGGGUGAAAUCCCGGGGCUCAACCUCGGAACUACCUUUGAUACUGCAAGUCUCGAGUCCGGAAGAGGUGAGUGGAAUUCCUAGUGUAGAGGUGAAAUUCGUAGAUAUUAGGAGGAACACCAGUGGCGAAGGCGGCUCACUGGUCCGGUACUGACGCUGAGGUGCGAAAGCGUGGGGAGCAAACAGG